rnacentral:tRNA from 1 species
CAGCAAGACAAGGAAAUGUGCCUGAACCAAAGGAUUACUUUGAUAGAGUAAAAAAUAGGGGUUAAAAUCCCCUCAUCUCCUAUUAGAACG